rnacentral:rRNA from 1 species
UACAGAGGUCUCAAGCGUUGUUCGGAUUCAUUGGGCGUAAAGGGUGCGUAGGCGGCGCGGUAAGUCGGGCGUGAAAUCUCGGAGCUUAACUCCGAAACUGCAUUCGAUACUGCCGUGCUUGAGGACUGGAGAGGAGACUGGAAUUUACGGUGUAGCGGCGAAAUGCGUAGAUAUCGUAAGGAAGACCAGUGGCGAAGGCGGGUCUCUGGACAGUUCCUGACGCUGAGGCACGAAGGUCAGGGGAGCAAACGGG